UACGUAGGGUGCAAGCGUUAUCCGGAAUUAUUGGGCGUAAAGAGCUCGUAGGCGGUCUGUCGCGUCAGCUGUGAAAACCUGGGGCUCAACCCCGGGCCUGCAGCCGAUACGGGCAGACUAGAAUUCGGUAGGGGAGACUGGAAUUCCUGGUGUAGCGGUGAAAUACGCAGAUAUCAGGAGGAACACCGGUGGCGAAGGCGGGUCUCUGGGCCGAUAUUGACGCUGGAGGAGCGAAAGCCGUGGGGAGCAAACAGG
rnacentral:rRNA from 1 species